CGAAUAAAGGUUCUUUUGCUUUUGCAUCGGACUCGGCUCCCUGGUGGUCUUUGGGGAUCACGAAUUCUGGGCAUAACAAUGUAUCGUCCUUUUCCAUAAUGUUAAAGAUGAAGCCGGGUCCACAGUCUCCACUUGAAUAUUCCUAUGGCUUCUCAGAGCCCUGUGGACGACGACUGAGGGGACAAACCAUGCAGGAAACAUCU
ensembl:snoRNA SNORA73 Small nucleolar RNA SNORA73 family